rnacentral:rRNA from 1 species
AUGGAUUGUGUCAGCAGCCGCGCGGUAAGACGAACCGUACGAACGUUAUUCGGAAUUACUGGGCUUAAAGGGUGCGUAGGCUGCACGGAAAGUUGGGUGUGAAAGCCCUCAGCUCAACUGAGGAAUUGCAUCCAAAACUGCCGUGCUAGAGGGAGACAGAGGUGAGCGGAACUCAAGGUGGAGCGGUGAAAUGCGUUGAUAUCUUGAGGAACACCGGUGGCGAAAGCGGCUCACUGGGUCUCUUCUGACGCUGAGGCGCGAAAGCUAAGGUAGCAAACGGGAUUAGAUACCCCGGUAGUCUUAGCUGUAAACGAUGAGCACUUGAUUGGAGGGUCCUCCAUAGCCUUCCAGUCGUAGCGAAAGUGUUAAGUGCUCCGCCUGGGGAGUAUGGUCGCAAGGCUGAAACUCAAAGAAAUUGACGGGGGCUCACACAAGCGGUGGAGGGUGUGGCUUAAUUCGAGGCUACGCGAAGAACCUUAUCCUAGUCUUGACAUGUAUGGAUUAACCCUGUGAAAGCAGGGCCACGCCUUCGGGUGGAACAUACACAGGUGCUGCAUGGCUGUCGUCAGCUCGUGUCGUGAGAUGUUGGGUUAAGUCCCGCAACGAGCGCAACCCUUGUCCUUAGUUGCCAGCAACUCGGUUGGGCACUCUAGGGAGACUGCCGGUGAUAAACCGGAGGAAGGCGGGGAUGACGUCAAGUCCUCAUGGCCCUUACGGGCUGGGCUACACACGUGCUACAAUGGCGUCUACAAUGGGUCGCAAUAGGGCAACCUAAAGCUAAUCUCAAAAAGACGUCUCAGUUCGGAUUGUACUCUGCAAUUCGAGUACAUGAAGUUGGAAUCGCUAGUAAUCGCGGAUCAGAACGCCGCGGUGAAUACGUUCCCGGGCCUUGCACACACCGCCCGUCA